rfam:Idiomarina salinarum strain ISL-52 contig1, whole genome shotgun sequence.
GGAGGGGUUCCCGAGCGGUCAAAGGGAUCAGACUGUAAAUCUGACGGCUCAGCCUUCGCAGGUUCGAAUCCUGCCCCCUCCA